UGCAUUCUAGGAAGAUCAUUCCUUAAAAGAAAUAGCCAUAUGGCUUAUAAGAUGGAGUCUCACUCUUGUCACCCAGGCUGCAGUGCAAUGGUGCGAUCUCGGCUCACUGCGACCUCUGCCUCCCGGGUUCAAGUGAUUCUUCUGCCUCAGCCUCCCAAGUAGCUGGGAUUACAGGGACUAUAUCUUAAGACUAUGUGUCUUCUGCAGUUCUUUGCAUAGAGUCAACGUUGAAGGACAAGCAACUUCAAAUUUCCAAGCAACAAAAUUAUGUUCGGGUGGUUUUCUGAAAGCGAGAUCUUAAGAACCACCUGUAUCAGAAUCCCAUGAAGAGCUUGUUUAGUGUGCAAAUUUACAGAUUGUCCCCCCUCAGAAAUGCUCAUUUAGGAGUUCCUGUCCUUUGCGGGGACAUGGAUGAAGCUGGAAACCAUCAUUCUCAGCAAACUAACACAGGAACAGAAAACCAAACACUGCAUGUUCUCACUCAAAAGUGGGAGUUGAACAAUGAGAACACAUGGACACAGGGAGGGGAACGUCACACACCAGGGCCUGUCGGGGGUGGGAGGUAAGGGGAGGGAGAGGAUUAGGACAAAUACCUAAUGCAUGUGGGGCUUAAAACCUAGAUGAUGGGUUGAUAGGUGCAGCAAACCACCAUGGACAUGUAUACCUAUGUAACAAACUUGCAUGUUCAGUACAUGUAUCCCAGAACUUAAAGUAAAAUAUAAAACAA
rnacentral:lncRNA from 1 species